ACUGAGCCACCCAGGCGCCCCACCCCACCACCAUUUAUUGAAGAUCCUGUCCUUCCCUACUGUACCUUUGUUGGCACAGACAAGCUCCUUUUCAGCCCUGGAGAUGCCCCGCUACGGGUACCACCCGCCGCAGAACUCCUGAAUUCUGUCGAUGACUAUGGAUCUCAGGUUAAGAUCAAUGGUGGCUGAGAUGAAGAUGGAACGGCAUCCUGCACUUCCUGUCUGCUUCGUCAGAAAACAGCAAUGACUUAAUCUGCUGUGUCUAUGAGGUUUUGUUCUUUCGUGUUCUAGGCUGAGGCACAACCUUUCAGCACCCUCAUCUGGAGAUCCAAUGCCAUGGAAACAUUGACAAGUGGCCUCAAUUGUGACACUUGAA